GGUUCUCUUGUUGUUCAUCCAUUGGGAUAUUUAGAUCAAAAGAAUGGAGUAUUUGAUGUGGAGGAACAAAAGGAAAAACUCCACCAACCUCAGGCUGGUGAGUGCUUUAAAGGCUGGAGGUAGAGUGUGUUUUAUAGCCGUGAGAAAGGAGCAGUGGCAGAGUGGCAGAACAGCAGCAGACCAGUGGCAGUUUCAAAUAUUGAAUGUUUUUCGUUUUUGUUAAUGUGUUUGGCGCGUGUGCCUGUGUACACAUUUCUACUUUUGGCGCCGGAUGGAUAAAAAAUUAAUAAAUGCUGAGAUGACUAGCUACAUCAUCCAUAUGUGACACAAGAAUCUUUACAUUUAA